AGAGAAUUUCUUCGAUGAAAUUAACAGCUCAUCAUCUGAAGAAGAACAACCUGAAGGAGACAAUGUUGCAGAGAAUGAAGCACCGGAUGAUUCAGACCAUGAAGCUCCUAAUGUCGUAUCAGUAGGACGGAAGAAGAAGAAGAGGAAAAGAGGGAAGCAGAAAAUGCUCGAUGAAUCAACACCUCCAGAUGUGUACCUAAAUCGUAUCUUUCUGUCUGCUUUGGAGCAAGAAGAUCAUGUCAUCUUGGAACAAGCGAUAGCUGAAAAUACAGACAACAAAUAUUUGCGGAAAGGCUUGAACAGCUAUAUUGACGAAGAAAAAAAUACCCUGCUUCAUUUUGCUUCCAAUAAAGGAUAUUUUCAUCAUCUUUGGGUUUUAUUAGAGGCUGGCGCUAGUCCUUGCUACAAGAAUAAAGCUUCACGCACUGCAUAUGAUGUUUCGCUGAAUAAAGAUACCCGAGACACUUUUCGGCGAUUUUAUGCAGAAUUUCCUGAAAAUUUGAUUAUACAAAUGUAAGUACUCCUUUCUUCAUAUGAUUAAAGUAGUUUUACUUAGUUGUGUCUAUGGCCAUCUAAAUUCGAAUAACAUUAUGAUGAAAGGAAAACUAAAUUGUUAUCAAAGUCACAUCAGAUAGUUCCACAGAUUAUCAUAAAGAAAAUCUCUUUACAUACAUAUGUUUCAGUCAAG
rnacentral:lncRNA from 1 species